rnacentral:rRNA from 1 species
GAUGAACGCUGGCGGCGUGCCUAAUACAUGCAAGUCGAGCGAACAGACGAGGAGCUUGCUCCUCUGACGUUAGCGGCGGACGGGUGAGUAACACGUGGAUAACCUACCUAUAAGACUGGGAUAACUUCGGGAAACCGGAGCUAAUACCGGAUAACAUGUUGAACCGCAUGGUUCAACAGUGAAAGACGGUCUUGCUGUCACUUAUAGAUGGAUCCGCGCCGCAUUAGCUAGUUGGUAAGGUAACGGCUUACCAAGGCAACGAUGCGUAGCCGACCUGAGAGGGUGAUCGGCCACACUGGAACUGAGACACGGUCCAGACUCCUACGGGAGGCAGCAGUAGGGAAUCUUCCGCAAUGGGCGAAAGCCUGACGGAGCAACGCCGCGUGAGUGAAGAAGGGCUUCGGAUCGUAAAACUCUGUUUUAGGGAAGAACAAAUGUGUAAGUAACUAUGCACGUCUUGACGGUACCUAAUCAGAAAGCCACGGCUAACUACGUG